AUUAGAUUAAAAACCAAUGCCCUUCGGGGCUCUCUGGUGAUUCAUGAUAACUUCUCGAAUCGCAUGGCCUUGCGCCGGCGAUGGUUCAUUCAAAUUUCUUCCCUAUCAACUUUCGAUGUUUGGGUAUUGGCCAAACAUGGUUGCAACGGGUAACGGAGGGUUAGGGCUCGACCCCGGAGAAGGAGCCUGAGAAACGGCUACUACAUCCAAGGAAGGCAGCAGGCGCGCAAAUUACCCAAUCCCGACUCGGGGAGGUAGUGACAAUAAAUACUGAUACAGGGUUCUUUCGGAUCUUGUAAUUGGAAUGAGUACAAUUUAAAUCCCUUAACGAGGAACAAUUGGAGGGCAAGUCUGGUGCCAGCAGCCGCGGUAAUUCCAGCUCCAAUAGCGUAUAUUAAAGUUGUUGUGGUUAAAAAGCUCGUAGUUGAACCUUGGGCCUGGCUGGCCGGUCCGCCUCACCGCGUGUACUGGUCCGGCCGGGCCUUUCCCUCUGUAGAACCCUAUGCCCUUCACUGGG
rnacentral:rRNA from 1 species